rnacentral:piRNA from 1 species
GUGAUCAUCUGUCAACACUCU